CACUCCUGUGGUUGCUGGGAUUUCUGAUGGCCCUUUUUAUACCAAAAACAGGUUUCAAGGGGCAGAAGAAGUGCCUAAUUGCUACAUAAUGGGAGUUAGGGAAUGAGCUAGAAGGAAUGGGGGAGAAAUGUGGCCAAGAAUGCUGAGAGUUCUUUCUCUGACUGUUAUUCUUUGUUUCCUGUGUCUGGAUUCAUAUUAUUCAGCUCUGGAGUAAAUGAGUAAAAGCUAUUGAAUGUGGUGUUCCGAUGAAAAAAAAAAAGGAAGGCUGGUAGAGCCAGAGAGCUGGAUUCAGAUCCCAGGUCUUCACUGUAAUUGCAGCCCAGAGGUCUGUCCUGUGGCCAUCACUGCUCCACAUCCCAGCAAGUGGCAGGAGUGUGUAAGAUGGAACAAACAGUAAGUGUAUGGCUGGGGUUUGUUGGUGGGGGUCGNNNNNNNNNNNNN
rnacentral:lncRNA from 1 species